rnacentral:lncRNA from 1 species
GGGUGGGGAAGGGAAACACUGGCUUCGGCAAGAAAGAGGACGCCUCCGUCACAAAGGUCCGGAGGCAGGACUUGGUUACCAAGGCUCCCCAGGACGGACCUGCAGGCAGCUUUGGGGUUCAGUAUGGGCUAUUUCAACUACGAGUUCAAAAGCCAUCGAGGUCUGGUGAUGCCGUCUCACAUCGGUCAGGAAUGCAUUUAUUCGCGUCACACGUGAGCUCCGUGGACAAAGCGAGGACCCCACCCACCCUGCCCACCCUUGCCCUGAGG